AUUGAACGCUGGCGGCAGGCCUAACACAUGCAAGUCGAAUGGUAACAGGAAACAGCUUGCUGUUUCGCUGACGAGUGGCGGACGGGUGAGUAAUGUCUGGGAAACUGCCUGAUGGAGGGAGAUAACUACUGGAAACGGUAGCUAAUACCGCAUAACGUCGCAAGACCAAAGAGGGGGACCUUCGGGCCUCUUGCCAUCAGAUGUGCCCAGAUGGGAUUAGCUAGUAGGUGGGGUAACGGCUCACCUAGGCGACGAUCCCUAGCUGGUCUGAGAGGAUGACCAGCCACACUGGAACUGAGACACGGUCCAGACUCCUACGGGAGGCAGCAGUGGGGAAUAUUGCACAAUGGGCGCAAGCCUGAUGCAGCCAUGCCGCGUGUAUGAAGAAGGCCUUCGGGUUGUAAAGUACUUUCAGCGGGGAGGAAGGGAGUAAAGUUAAUACCUUUGCUCAUUGACGUUACCCGCAGAAGAAGCACCGGCUAACUCCGUG
rnacentral:rRNA from 1 species